UAGGGAAUCUUCCGCAAUGGGCGAAAGCCUGACGGAGCAACGCCGCGUGAGUGAUGAAGGUCUUCGGAUCGUAAAACUCUGUUAUUAGGGAAGAACAAAUGUGUAAGUAACUAUGCACGUCUUGACGGUCCCUAAUCAGAAAGCCACGGCUAACUACGUGCCAGCAGCCGCGGUAAUACGUAGGUGGCAAGCGUUAUCCGGAAUUAUUGGGCGUAAAGCGCGCGUAGGCGGUUUUUUAAGUCUGAUGUGAAAGCCCACGGCUCAACCGUGGAGGGUCAUUGGAAACUGGAAAACUUGAGUGCAGAAGAGGAAAGUGGAAUUCCAUGUGUAGCGGUGAAAUGCGCAGAGAUAUGGAGGAACACCAGUGGCGAAGGCGACUUUCAGGUCUGUAACUGACGCUGAUGUGCGAAAGCGUGGGGAUCAAACAGG
rnacentral:rRNA from 1 species